rnacentral:rRNA from 1 species
UACGAAGGGUGCAAGCGUUACUCGGAAUUACUGGGCGUAAAGCGUGCGUAGGUGGUUUGUUAAGUCUGAUGUGAAAGCCCUGGGCUCAACCUGGGAAUUGCAUUGGAUACUGGCAGGCUAGAGUGCGGUAGAGGGUAGUGGAAUUCCACGUGUAGCAGUGAAAUGCGUAGAGAUGUGGAGGAACACCGAUGGCGAAGGCAGCCCCCUGGGUCAACACUGACGCUCAUGCACGAAAGCGUGGGGAGCAAACAGG